rnacentral:rRNA from 1 species
AGCCACAGCCAUAUCACCCUGCAGCCUAAGACCGGUUAAUCACUGAAGCAAAGCAGGGCUGAGCCUGGUCUGUACCUGGAUGAAAGACCACAUGGGAAAACUAGAUUACUGUUGGAA